AAACAAUGUAUAACUUUCAUAGUGACUGCAGAGUGUUGGGAAUAUGGCUCUUUUUCCCCCUACUGAAAAAUAUCUCUCGGCUGCUCGAUUAAAUCCUAGAAUGACUUUGUCAUCAUAAUCUUUAGCCCAGAUGUUUUGGUCUGUUCUAGACAUGAUACAAACAAAUUCAGGAACACAUAAAUCCAAAUAUUACUUUGAUAUGAUUUAUUUUAAAAUUGAAAAUACAGCUUUAGAUGUUGAAACACAAAUAACGCAACUUAUCCAGUAGAGGCCUGUCAACCCAAGACAAAGCCAAGAGGGAGUUAGGUUCAACAGCCCAGAGGGAGUUAGGUUCAACAGCCCAGAGAGAGUUAGGUUCAACAGCCCAGAGGGAGUUAGGUUCAACAGCCCAGAGGGAGUUAGGUUCAACAGCCCAGAGAGAGUUAGGUUCAACAGCCCAGAGGGAGUUAGGUUCAACAGCCCAGAGGGAGUUAGGUUCAACAGCAUGUCAACCCAAGACAAAGCCAAGAGGGAGUUAGGUUCAACAGCCCAGAGAGAGUUAGUUUCAACAGCCCAGAGGGAGUUAGGUUCAACAGCCCAGAGGGAGUUAGGUUCAACAGCCCAGAGAGAGUUAGGUUCAACAGCCCAGAGGGAGUUAGGUUCAACAGCCCAGAGGGAGUUAGGUUCAACAGCCCAGAGGGAGUUAGGUUCAACAGCCCAGAGGGAGUUAGGUUCAACAGCCCAGAGGGAGUUAGGUUCAACAGCAUGUCAACCCUCACACGCCUUGUGCUUGUUCUGUGUAAAUGUGUGUGUGUGUAAAUGUUUGUGUGUGGUGUGUGUGUGUGUGUGUGUGUGUAAAUGUUUUUGCGGUGUGUGUGUGUGUAAAUGUUUUUGCGGUGUGUGUGUGUGUAAAUGUUUUUGCGGUGUGUGUGUGUGUGUGUAAAUGUUUGUGUGGUGUUUGUGUGGUGUGUGUGUGUAAAUGUUUGUGUGGUGUGUGUGUGUAAAUGUUUGUGUGGUGUGUGUGUAAAUGUUUUUGCGGUGUGUGUGUAAAUGUUUUUGCGGUGUGUGUGUACAUGUUUUUGCGGUGUGUGUGUAAAUGUUUUUGCGGCGUGUGUGUGUGUGUGUGUGUAAAUGUUUAUGUGGUGUGUGUGUGUAAAUGUUUAUGUGGUGUGUGUGUGUGUAAAUGUUUGUGUGGUGUGUGUGUGUGUAAAUGUUUUUGCGGUGUGUGUGUGUGUAAAUGUUUUUGCGGUGUGUGUGUGUGUGUAAAUGUUUGUGUGGUGUGUGUGUGUGUGUGUAAAUGUUUGUGUGGUGUGUGUGUAAAUGUUUUUGCGGUGUGUGUGUAAAUGUUUUUGCGGCGUGUGUGUGUGUGUGUAAAUGUUUAUGUGGUGUGUGUGUGUGUGUGUGUGUGUGUGUGUGUGUGUGUGUGUGUGUGUGUGUGUGUGUGUGUGUGUGUGUUGGCAUGUUAGUAGAACAACAUUGAGAACAACAGUCAGUAUAACUGUAUAAUAUAGACUGGUCUGCAACAGGAAAUAUACCUCCGUUAGACUUAUAUAGGCCUCGGAAAAUCAACAACCAACCACGUCCAUACUUUCAGAAUAAUCCUCAGUAACCUUUA
rnacentral:lncRNA from 1 species